GCCAUCAAGGUGUGACGGUAGCACACUCGGCUCGAAUUCGAGAGACCUAAGUUCGAGUCCUGGCGAGGGCA
rnacentral:tRNA from 1 species